rnacentral:rRNA from 1 species
UACGGGGGGUGCGAGCGUUGCCCGGAUUUAUUGGGCGUAAAGGGCGCGUAGGCGGCCACGCACGUCCGUUGUGAAAUCGCCCGGCUCAACUGGGCGGGGUCAGCGGAUACGGCGCGGCUGGAGCAAGCUAGGGGGCAAUGGAAUUCCCGGUGUAGUGGUGGAAUGCGUAGAUAUCGGGAGGAACACCAGUGGCGAAGGCGGUUGCCUGGAGCUUUGCUGACGCUGAGGCGCGAAAGCGUGGGGAGCGAUCCGG